GAUCACCUGCAGCCUUCUUUUCUUCAGUCUUCUCUGAGCCAGUCUGGAGUUAGCUGAGCUGCUUGUUUCCCUGCCUUCUAAGCAGUGCAUGCUCGUCACAUCGGCUAAUCUUUAUCAGCACUCCCACUUUGUGUGCAGUCUCAGCUUCACGCCCUCUUCCUGGCUGCUGCGUUGAGGAAAUGGUGUGUAGAGUUCUGUGCACUGAGCAUCGCUGCUGCCUGUGUGGUGCUCUGUGUCACAGAAUGGGGGGGGGAUGAUCCAUUUGUCCAAGGGGAGGGGAAUUUCUGUUUCCUUUCCCUAACGGGUGGUUAUUGCUGAAAUAACCCUUACUCCAAAGUGGGAGGAAGCACAGUGUGUUGUAUGGUGUGUUAAAUAACUUUGUUUUUCAUUACAGCUGAUUCCUGUAAAAUAAAAUGUUUUAUUCCUUGAAGAAGGUACUUCACUUAGAGGAGUUGGAGAGUUUCAAAGGAUUUCUGAAAGUAUGGGCCAAAGCCCAAUAGUGGUGUAGGUCUGGAAAAAGAAUUUACAGGUUUUUCUUUUCUAAAGUAUUUUGGCUCCUCCUGGAGGUAAGUGCAGUGAAUUUCUCAGAACAACGCUUCGCAGUAACUGCACAGGCGUGGUGGUCUGUCCUCCCCACGGCGCUAUCAGAUGGUGAAGGACUAUCAGGAGAUGAUAAGUAAUUCAUAAAGCCUGAACCUUGGCAUCUUGAAAUAUUUGUUGGUAUUGUAGCAGUACUUGCUGUUCUUCUGUCCCUUUAAAUCCACAUCCAUCUUGUCAAAGGAUCUGAGCCAGCUUUUUGCCUUCUCCAUCUUCCCACAAAAGGUCAGGCAUCUUAGAAAAGCACGUACACCUCACGUAGCUUCUGCCCAUCCCCCUUAGCCAUUUUUGCUGCAUUCGUCACAGAAGAGAAGAAUAUAAAGCUUUUCUGCUGCUAUAAUUUCCAGUUUAGUUUUACACAUCUGAGGAAUUCUGAAUUAAAAGCAUUACUCUCUUUGUUGUUUUUAUUUUCUCUAUGUGGAUGCUUUUAGUUUUGUUGAAGGGGAAAAAAAAACAGACAGUAUUAUGUGUCAGAACAGUUGCUGUCCUUAAACUUUAAGGCUAAGCUUAUGCUUAUGUUUGUGCAGCUGAUACCAAGUAAUGAUGGUAAGUAGUGUGAUAGGGUGUGUGAGUCUUUUCUACAAAUGGCAGAAAACAUGGUAUGAAAUUGUCCAGGGUAAAUUUGCUGACACAGUAACUACAUACUUUGCUUUUAUGUGCUAAGUAUCACUGAUAUCACCUGCAGUGAUUCCUACUCUUCCUUCACCCACCUUGUUUCCAUGCUGCUGCUCAGGGUAGGAGACAAGGAUCCUGUUCUACAGAUGAAAUUACUAAGCUGUUUUACUGUGUUUAUCCGACAUUGUAGAUGCUGCUGAUGUCUCAGUGAGGAGAAAAUUGAUGUGAAAAGGUCAUGAAAGGAAGGCUUGAUGUGCCUGACACAUAGUUUCCUGUGUUGUACAGUUCAUUCUCAUGAGUUUGGGGUACCCAGUAUUUGUCAGGCUAGAUUUUACACAGCUUAGAACUUGGAAUUUUAAAACCUGUAUUAUCUCAAACGUUGGUAAUCUUUUUACACUGUUCAUCUGGAAAUGCUUACAGCCACUUACCUUCUGACCCAGCAGGUCUUAAUUGCAAGAUCCACAGGAACCUUAUAGCCAUACUGCAGAAAUAAGCACUGUCUCAGUUUUCCAUGUGAAAAAACACAAAGUGACUAAAGAACUGAAGGCCUGCCUCUGCUGUAUUCUAAAUACAUGGGUAUACUCUGGUUUAAUGCAUUUUAUGGAAGCUGCUUCAAGUGCUUAUAUGGUCCUGAGCCUGCUAAGCUGUCAUACUUGUCUGUGCUUUGCUGUACCAGCAUCCUACGCUGCAGAAACAGCGAGUUUUCCUUUUUGCAAAAAUGAAUUUGGUCUGAGUGCGCUCCAGUAAGCAACCACUGUGCCCUGAGAGUGAGGAGGAGCAGCUGGAAGUCGUGGAAGAUGGUGCAGAGAACAAGGAGUAGGAACGUGUGUUGGCUUUCUGCAAAGAAGCAAUUAGUGCGUGUUUGUAUGCUGUCUUUGCUUUCAUCGUGGUAAAUUCUUGCUCCGAAUUAAAACCUGAAAGAUUUUGUUGUAAAUUCGACCUUCACUGGAUGAUGUAGUGGAAACGUGCCUGCAAUCCACAUGAGGAACGCAUGCGUGUAUGAGAUGGAGUGUGAAAACAUUCCUGGUCCCUUUGGAUGAAGGGGGAGAGCUGUAGAGUCACUGGGGCUCUGCUGCCUGUAGGGCCUGUGAAGAAAGCAGGUAAAGAGGCAUUGAAAUGAGUGCUCUGAUAUUGGAGAAGCUGCUGUGAUGGUUUCCUUCUGUGAUGAUCUACAGAAAUGCUUUGUGGAGUAAUAACAGCUUCAAGGUAAGGGCGUGGAUUCAGCUGGGUGUAGGUAAGUACCUCUGUGUGGUGUGAGAACUUGGGAAAACAGGUGAGAAUGGAAGAGUUGUGUAUCUCAGUGUUGUAAACGAAACGGUGGGGGGGGAGCAAUUGUUACAUUUUUAAAAGAUCUCGGGAUUCCUGUAAUAACUUUUCUAUAUUCUGUUUUUCAGCACAGGAGGAGCCUCUUCAAGUGUUGUGAACAUGUUCUGAAGUUCAGUAGCAGUUACACAACAUGGGGUGGGAGGUGCACAGGCUACUGCAAGUUGUGGCCUCACAGGAACCAGUUUUAAUAGAGGGGAAACCUCAGGUUCUCUUGGAACUUCCAUGAAUUUAAGUGAGGACUCAUUGGCAAUGGUGAAACAGGAUGUUACUUCUAUUUUUGACGCUGGACGGGGGGAUGAGGGUACUGAGCUUCAUACUUGAUAAUCAGGACACAGUGAUGGGCCUUGGCAAAAGUGCAGACUGUCUGAGUCCAGGAGGAUUGCAGCUGUGGGGAAACUCACUUUCCCAAGCAGCAGUGGCAGAAACUUCCUGAGAAGAGGGAAUGGAUGAGUGUCUGCUGCUCAGCUGAAUAGGGAUAGUUCUUUUGAGACCAUAAAUAGAGCCACGCAGUCCAGAACUA